rnacentral:lncRNA from 1 species
CUCAAGGGAUGCAAAAACUGGUGAAGUAGACAUAUUGUCUCACGAAGAGUAUUAACGAUAUGAAGUCGUCUCUGUUUACAUUUUUUGUUCUCUCACUUCCUUAUGUAGUUGCCAAUUUUCUCAAAAUAUGAACACACUGCUUCCAGCAAGAAUGUAGGAAAGAGAUGGCUUUUUUUGAGGAUUUCUUGGAUAACUGAGGCCAGGAUUAGGACACAGUUAUCCCUUUUAAGGACUUGUAUCUUCGACUGAGGCCAUAGCUGGUGCUCAGAUUUAUAGAAAUGAGAAUGUUUCCAUACGGAUUUUGUAAUCAGGAAAAUUUAUCAUAGUUGUACCAGUUGUCAGUUUACUUUACUGUCUUUUGUUUUUUGUUUGUCUUUUGCUGAGGAAUUUUCUUCUUGAGAACUACUCUUAUCUGAUCUUUGAUACUCUCUAUGAGUUUGAAGAUAAUCAUGAAAAAUAGGCUUCUCAUGAAAGGACUUUGAUAUAUCUUGCACUGCAUAUAUCAUUUGCCUCUCUGCCCUAUCGGGUAGGGUAAGAGCUGCAUACACACUAUCCUCCUCAGACCCCACUUAGUGGGACUUUACUGGGUCGUGUUAUUGUUGCACUGCAUAUAUCAGCUUAGGACUGGAGUAAGUUCCCUCGAGGGGCACAACACAACUUGAAAGAGAUUUUUACCUAUCUAUGCCAUAUAUGAAACCUUAUUACCAAAACUGUUCAUAAUUUGUUAUUUACCCGUGUAGUCCGCACUUUCUACAAAAUAUAUAUCAAUCCAAUAAUAGGUAGAUUUUUCCAUAAAAGCGUGCUAAAAAUAAGGCACCAGAUUUGCGUGUGAUCCUAUCACCAUUAAAUUCGAAUUUUGAAACAGAAGAAAAUCCCAUUGCUGUGUAAUUCUCUCCUUCUCCAUAGCCAUUAAAAAGCUUGAAAGCUUUGAAUUCAAAUUUGGGUUUUCAAAAAUCAUUAUUUGUUUGGAUUGGGUGUUGUUGUAAAUAAUUCGGAAUAUAUAUGAAGUCGUCUCUGUUUACAUUUUUUGCUCUCUCACUUCCUUAUGUAGUUGCCAAUUUUCUCAAAAUAUGAACACACUGCUUCCAGCAAGAAUGUAGGAGAGAGAUGGCUUGGAGGCUUUUUUUGAGGAUUUCUUGGAUAACUGAGGCCAGGAUUAGGACACAGUUAUCCCUUUUAAGGACUUGUAUCUUCGACUGGGGCCAUAGCUGGUGCUCAGAUUUACAGAAAUGAGAAUGUUUCCAUACGGAUUUUGUAAUCAGGAAAAUAUAUCAUAGUUGUACCAUUUGUCAGUUUACUGUCUUUUGUUUUUUG